UCGGACGUGGUGUACGGAACACCGCGAGCUCAUGUUGCAGUUUUUCGCUUGCUUGCAGCUCGCAAUCCGGGGUUCGACUCCCCGCGUCUGAA